rnacentral:hammerhead_ribozyme from 1 species
AUCCAGCUGACGAGUCCCAAAUGAGACGAAACGCGUGUCCUGGAU